rnacentral:rRNA from 1 species
GACAGAGGGGGCAAACGUUGUUCGGAAUUACUGGGCGUAAAGCGUGUGUAGGCGGCUAGGGAAGUCGGAUGUGAAAGCCCCGGGCUCAACUCGGGAAGUGCACUCGAUACUGCUUAGCUCGAGUACCGGAGAGGUUGGUGGAAUUCUCGGUGUAGAGGUGAAAUUCGUAGAUAUCGAGAGGAACACCGGUGGCGAAGGCGGCCAACUGGACGAGUACUGACGCUGAGACUCGAGAGCGUGGGGAGCAAACAGG